rnacentral:lncRNA from 1 species
CUGAGCUGGGUUAAAGUGACCUCAAAUGGGGAGGAAAUUCCAUGUGUUUGAGGGUGUCUCUCAUCACUGCCCCCAUCAUCUUCUUCUCUAGGGCCCCAAAGUUAACUUUUCAUUGGAAACACUUUGUCUUUACACACAUUUAUAUGUGUGAUAGGAAGUGUUUCCUAUACCACUUUUAGACAGUUUCAUUUGCAUUUAAAUAAUGAGUCUACCUCUAGGACUGUCCCACAAAUUUUAUAAAUGCGCAUGUACAAGAAGCUAUCUUACAUAGGAUGAUGGUAAAGAUUUAUUAGAGAUCUCAGUCAAACUCACAUUUUAAUAAUUAAAAUAAAACCUAUCACUAAAGUGCUUUUUUGUGAUUAAUCGGAUCACUCUCUCCACUGGAGUCUAACACCACAUAAACAUUUUCACUUCAUGAUUGAGCAUGCGGACAGGUUGCUGUAAUGUUAUUUAGCUAUUAUUACUUAAGUUCCCUUUUGUGGGUUGAUGCAUUCAUGUGAGUUAGGGGCUGUGUUGAUAUUCUCUGUCACUCCAGGUGUAACUUCCACCACUUUCCACACUGCCCUGGAUCCUGGAAGACUCUGGACAGCAUCAACCAUGUUCUCCUUGAGGAGUGUGGGGGUGGCACUGGCAGGAAACCCAAUGGUUUGCAUAUGAAGAAGGAAUCUGCAUUUGUAAGCACCUGGGAGAUAUGAGCAGGAUAUAGAGAGAACAGACAUUAAGAAAUAUUGGUCCAACGAUACAUUACAUUAAGAAAUGUACCAUCUGAGGUAAGUCACAAGGACCCAGAAGCCAGCUUCAAGGGUUCACAAAGGCCAAACCUUGUACAUUUUGAGCAUCAAAAUAAAUAUAAUAAUAAAUUCA